AUCUUUGCUGUCGGAGUCCUCCUUGCCUCUGAUCUGAGGAGAUAUAUCUAAUGAGUCGACUGGUUUAACUGGCUUGUCCCUCUCAGAUGAAGUUCCCUCAACUAUAUCAACUCUCGGUGUUGAUGAACGGCCUGUAGCAAUGGUAGCUGAAGGAAAAGCCUUCUCUGGUGGAACAACUGGUUUAUAACUUGAUGGUAGGAGAUCAUCCCAGUUCUCCAAAAGCUCCUUGUACACCUUACGAAGAGU
rnacentral:misc_RNA from 1 species